UACGUAGGGUGCAAGCGUUAAUCGGAAUUACUGGGCGUAAAGCGUGCGCAGGCGGCUAUGCAAGACAGAUGUGAAAUCCCCGGGCUCAACCUGGGAACUGCAUUUGUGACUGCAUCGCUGGAGUACGGCAGAGGGGGGAUGGAAUUCCGCGUGUAGCAGUGAAAUGCGUAGAUAUGCGGAGGAACACCGAUGGCGAAGGCAAUCCCCUGGGCCUGUACUGACGCUCAUGCACGAAAGCGUGGGGAGCAAACAGG
rnacentral:rRNA from 1 species